AGGUCUGGACAACGCUUGAAGGGUGAAGUAUAAAGCAGAGGCUGGGAGAGAAGGAGGUGGUUUGUGUGUGGCUGGUGCUGCCUUCCCUAUCUCCUGAGGAACCUGUGGCUGGGAGAGCUGGCGUCAGGAAAGUCACGGGAGAAGAAACACAACUUUUGUGGUUUGGGACCUGGGACAUGACUUGCAGACAUAGCAUGGGGACAAAGCUCAGGCACUGUUGUAAAAAUAUUCUCUUCAUUCCUUGAUGUGGAGGUAGUGACUGAGCCCCAUUCUCCUUCCUCUCGUCUGACCUGCCCAAUUAGUGUACCUUGUUGUUCUGCACUGAAAUGCCUUGGCUGCAGCCAAGAUGUUGUCCUUAUUUAUGGUACUUAGCAAUAUGCAGAGGAUGGGAGGAGUAGAAAGGGCUGCAAAGAAGCCAUGGUCAUCUAAAGCAUUAGAUAUUGCUCACAGCGAACCUUCUUUCCUCCAAACCUUGGACAAUCUCUCUUGUGCCAGUAGGGCUGUGGACUUGUUGGCUGUCCUCCAGCUAAGGUUCUUACUUAGUCCAGACUAGCUGCUGCUCUUUGCCAGGGUUAGUACAUCGCAUGGGAGAAGCCCUGUGUGGGAUGCUCUUGAAGAACAGCAGCUUCGGAUCACCAUCAGCACAACCAAGGUUACAGUCCAGAGAACAGCAAAAGCUGGUGCACUUUGUGCUUCACUAGACUGAGCCCAUGUCUUCUUUUAGGAGGAGGUCUGAAAUGGUAUAUGAGAGCUCACAGGGGUAGAGGGGAAAGCCCGGACAAGUGCUUGCACAUUAUGAGCUCCAACCGCUCAGAGUAAACUAUUUAGAGGGCAGGUAGUUACGGCUGUUGAGGAAGUUUUUCCAGCCUGCUUUGGCUUUUGUUAGAAGGAUUAUUAGAAUUUGAUACAUAAACUUUUUCCACAGUGAGAUUUGUAUUUUCCACAGCAGGUUUGAGAUGUGCUGGGAAAUUAAAAACUCAAACUCUGAGCCCUAUUUUAUUUCAUGUGAAAGGCCUAAAUGUUCCUAGUAGAAGGAAUCAAUUUUCCAACCAGUUCUACUGAAACAGGUCAUAAUUUGCUGCUUUCCUGGAGGUGACAUUUGGCACUUCCCAUGAGGCCUAAGACAUACGGUGACACCCUGCCUCGAUUUGAGAAUGUCCUGUCCCAGGUUGCUCCCUAAGAAGUGACAGAUCACCCUAAAUGCCCCUUGAGACAUGCUGUAGCUUCCACUCAGCCACAAACUCAGAUACGGUGCUUGAAAAUUGCCAGUGAAAAAGAGAGCUGGUUUCAACAGCUCCUUGUCUGUAGUGAUAAACAGAGAUGCAGAGCUCCAAAAUAUGCAAAGAUGCAAAAUAAUCCUGGCAGGGGGUUAGUUAAUCAGGCAUUAAAACCCAGGACUGAGUCCAGGCAGAGAUUAGACAGUUGCUCUUUAAUCAAAGCAAUAGAGCUCAUGUUUGACUGUUAAUAACACUGCCUUUCAACCUGAAAUUUGAGCUAGAAAAGCAGGGUUUUCCUGUAAUUCUGUGAUUAUUUGUGCAGUGAUCUGGAAGCAUUCUGUGUUCUGGAAUCAGGUGCUGUCAGCUGCCUCUUCCUGCUAGAGCAGAAGUGAAAUAGAAAGGUGUCUUGUCUGGCUUGGUGCACAGCAAACCAUAACUCCUAAGGGUUAACAGCUUGCCAGGGCUUGCUACUGAAACCCUGCUGUGCUGAGCAGUGCAAAGAUGAAGCUCUUUCUUAGGUGACCAGCUCUGGCAGUGGCCAGCUGCUCGGGCCUUGGAAAGCACGAUGCCUGAGCGAUCUGGCUGUGUGCAGCAGCCAGAUCUUGCCAUACUCAUGGCUGGUGGGUGAUUUGAUGGGUUCCACUGUAGGCUGGGGGCACAGUCCCAGAAAGCCUGUCCCUCACCCCUCCAGGCUGUGGAUGGCACUUUAUGGGGACCCUGAGGCUCCAUCACAAAAUAGGAGUGUUGCUGUCAUGUGGGUUUGGCCUUCAAGCACAAGAGACCUGGGCAGACCAA